rnacentral:lncRNA from 1 species
CUAAACUUUUUUGUAAAAUGUAAAAUAAAAUAACACCUUUCCUGGAAACCUGGUAAAUGAAACUUCUUGUUUAAUCAUCCCUCCAUGUCUGGUACAUCAAUAUAAAACCAUUUUAUUCACAAAGUAUCAAGAACUAACCUGGGUGGGAUAACUAACAUGAUACUUCCUAAAUAGGUUGUCUGGAAGAUGUGUGAAUGAAUGAAUGAAUGAACGAGAUAAUAAUAGAGAGCAGAGAGACAGAUAUCUUAAGGGUAUUGUGUACUGUUCUGUGGAGGGACGUUAUUU